rnacentral:rRNA from 1 species
UAACGGCGAGUGAAGCGGCAACAGCUCAAAUUUGAAAUCUGGCGCAAGCCCGAGUUGUAAUUUGUAGAGGAUGCUUCUGGGCAGCGGCCGGUCUAAGUUCCUUGGAACAGGACGUCAUAGAGGGUGAGAAUCCCGUAUGCGACCGGUUGGCACCCUAUACGUAGCUCCUUCGACGAGUCGAGUUGUUUGGGAAUGCAGCUCUAAAUGGGAGGUAAAUUUCUUCUAAAGCUAAAUACCGGCCAGAGACCGAUAGCGCACAAGUAGAGUGAUCGAAAGAUGAAAAGCACUUUGGAAAGAGAGUUAAAAAGCACGUGAAAUUGUUGAAAGGGAAGCGCACGCAACCAGACUUGUUGGCGGUGUUCCGCCGGUCUUCUGACCGGUCUACUCGCCGCCGACAGGCCAGCAUCACUUGGGUGCGCCGGAUAAAGGCGCGGGGAAUGUAGCUCUCUUCGGAGAGUGUUAUAGCCCCGCGCACAAUACGGUGCCGCCCGAGUGAGGUCCGCGCUUCGGCUAGGAUGCUGGCGUAAUGGUUGUGUGCGGCCCGUCUUGAAACACGGACCAAGGAGUCUAACAUCUAUGCGAGUGUUCGGGUGUCAAACCCCUACGCGUAAUGAAAGUGAACGGAGGUGGGAACCGCAAGGUGCACCAUCGACCGAUCCUGAUGUCUUCGGAUGGAUUUGAGUAAGAGCAUAGCUGUUGGGACCCGAAAGAUGGUGAACUAUGCCUGAAUAGGGUGAAGCCAGAGGAAACUCUGGUGGAGGCUCGCAGCGGUUCUGACGUGCAAAUCGAUCGUCAAAUUUGGGUAUAGGGGCGAAAGACUAAUCGAACCAU